rnacentral:tRNA from 2 species
UGGAAUAGCUCAGUUGGUAGAGCAGCUGUCUCGUAAUCAGCAGGUCGUAGGUUCAAGUCCUAUUUCCAG